AGAAUCAACGCUGGCGGCGUGCCUAACACAUGCAAGUCGAACGAGAAAGUGGAGCAAUCCAUGAGUACAGUGGCGUACGGGUGAGUAACACGUGACUAACCUACCCUCGAGUGGGGAAUAACCUCGGGAAACCGGGGCUAACACCGCAUAAUAUCUACGGAUCAAAUGCGCAAGCAGCUUGAGGAGGGGGUCGCGGCCGAUUAGCUAGUUGGCGGGGUAAUGGCCCACCAAGGCAGUGAUCGGUAGCCGGCCUGAGAGGGCGCACGGCCACACUGGAACUGAAACACGGUCCAGACUCCUACGGGAGGCAGCAGUGGGGAAUUUUGCGCAAUGGGGGAAACCCUGACGCAGCAACGCCGCGUGGAGGGUGAAGCCCUUUGGGGUGUAAACUCCUUUCGAUCGGGACGAUUAUGACGGUACCGGAAGAAGAAGCACCGGCUAACUCUGUGCCAGCAGCCGCGGUAAUACAGAGGGUGCAAGCGUUGUUCGGAAUUAUUGGGCGUAAAGGGUGCGUAGGCGGUGCGGUAAGUCUGUUGUGAAAUCUCCGGGCUCAACUCGGAGCCUGCAACGGAAACUGCCGUGCUUGAGUAUGGGAGAGGUGAGUGGAAUUCCCGGUGUAGCGGUGAAAUGCGUAGAUAUCGGGAGGAACACCUGUGGCGAAAGCGGCUCACUGGACCAUAACUGACGCUGAUGCACGAAAGCUAGGGGAGCAAACAGGAUUAGAUACCCUGGUAGUCCUAGCCCUAAACGAUGAUCGCUUGGUGUGACAGGUACCCAAUCCUGUCGUGCCGGAGCUAACGCGUUAAGCGAUCCGCCUGGGGAGUACGGUCGCAAGGCUGAA
rnacentral:rRNA from 1 species